rnacentral:rRNA from 1 species
AGAGAUGCAUUGGGUUUAAAGCGUGCGCAGGCGGUUUUGUAAGACAGAGGUGAAAUCCCCGGGCUCAACCUGAGAACUGCCUUUGUGACUGCAAGGCUGGAGUGCGGCAGAGGGGGAUGGAAUUCCGCGCGUAGCAGUGAAAUGCGUAGAUAUGCGGAGGAACACCGAUGGCGAAGGCAAUCCCCUGGGCCUGCACUGACGCUCAUGCACGAAAGCGUGGGGAGCAAACA